rnacentral:sRNA from 1 species
UUGCCCUAACACAAUGAAAGCCCUUCCUCUCGAUCAUCCUUAUGGCUCCUUGGCCAUGCCAGUGAGAAUUAGGGGGAAAUCUAACAAUAA